AUUGAACGCUGGCGGCAGGCCUAACACAUGCAAGUCGAACGAGUGGCGGACGGGUGAGUAAUGUCUGUGAAACUGCCUGCUGGAGGGGGAUAACUACUGUAAACGGUAGCUAAUACCGCAUACCAUCUGAUGUGCCCAGAUGGGAUUAGCUAGUAGGUGGGGUACCGGCUCACCUAGGCGACGAUCCCUAGCUGGUCUGAGAGGAUGACCAGCCACACUGGAACUUAGACACGGGCCAGACUCCGACGGGAGGCAGCAGUGGGGAAUAUUGCACAAUGGGCGCAAGCCUGAUGCAGCCAUGCCGCGUGUAUGAAGAAGGCCUUCGGGUUGUAAAGUACUUUCAGCGGGGAGGCGUUACCCGCAGAAGAAGCACCGGCUAACUCCGUGCCAGCAGCCGCGGUAAUUC
rnacentral:rRNA from 1 species